rnacentral:rRNA from 1 species
GGAAUAUUGGGCAAUGGUCGCAAGACUGACCCAGCCAUGCCGCGUGCAGGAAGACGGCCCUCUGGGUUGUAAACUGCUUUUAUCUGGGAAGAAAAAGUCCAUGCGUGGAAAAUUGCCGGUACCAGAUGAAUAAGCACCGGCUAACUCCGUGCCAGCAGCCGCGGUAAUACGGAGGGUGCAAGCGUUGUCCGGAUUUAUUGGGUUUAAAGGGUGCGUAGGCGGCUGAAUAAGUCAGCGGUGAAAGACUUCGGCUUAACCGGAGCAGUGCCGUUGAUACUGUUUAGCUUGAGUGUUGGAGGGGUACAUGGAAUUGAUGGUGUAGCGGUGAAAUGCAUAGAUACCAUCAGGAACACCGAUAGCGAAGGCAUUGUACUGGCCAACAACUGACGCUGAGGCACGAAAGUGUGGGGAUCGAACAGGAUUAGAUACCCUGGUAGUCCACACCGUAAACGAUGAUUACUCGCUGUUAUGGUGUAUGCUGUAGCGGCCAAGCGAAAGCGUUAAGUAAUCCACCUGGGGAGUACGCCGGCAACGGUGAAACUCAAAGGAAUUGACGG